CUGUAGCUCGUCCUGUACUUCCUUCCUCUGCACGUCCCACAGCUGGGGGGUGACACCCGGUCCUUCCCCCUGCACUGUUCUCUCCUCGGCUGGCAUCUGUGGCCAUUGUUCACGGGGACUUCCGCCACCACUUCUUGGCGUCACAGGAUGUGGUGCCUCUGCUCUUUAAGCAAGGGCUCCACAGCCACAAGUGUCCUUAUAAGAAAAGGAGAUUAGGAGCCCGACAUAGGAAGACACAGCCAUGGAGGAAUUAUCCAAGGAGGAAAAGAUGGCCAUCUAUAAACCCAUCUAUGGAAGCUUCAGAAGAGACCAGCCCUGCCAACAUCUUCAUCUUGGACUUCCAGCCUCUACAAUUGGUCCUACCAGUAAAUUUACAGGGUUGAAGCAGAUUCAAGGAAGAAAGACACAUUUAAAAAAUGGUAUAAUGCUAAAUAAUGAGAAAAAAAGAUCAC